CUUGAAGUCAUUUCAUAAUUUCCUUAUGGGAUAAUAAAUUAAUGGUGAAAUGCGAAAAGAACCAGUAUUACAUUUUGCCGGUAUCUUUUACAUGGAUUAUGACGCGUCCGCUAUUUCACUCGCUGUAUGCAUAAACCACGCGCACUGUCACCGUAAUAAUAACUUUCUGGCAAACGUCACACUGAACCGAAUAAAAUAUCAUGAGCGAAAUAGCAUUCAGUCAUCAGUAAGCAAUAUGGAUCACAACGAUAAGAGAAUUAGAAGAGCUUUAAGGAGGCGUCCUUAUUCGUCUGCCUGUGUGAAGACCCACAACAGGCCUCCCAUCAUCACAAUGUAUGACCAAGACCAGGCAUCUGGGGUCAGAGUUUCGCUACUAAACCAGCGUAUCUCCGCCAUUAUACCAGAAACUCCCUGCCAGUCUGGGAGGAUGACUUGUGGGAUGGGGACAUCACACAAGGAGAGGUGCUCCUCAGCGAGAUCUAAUGACUCCCUAAAGACUUUCAAAAUCUGUGAACGUGAG
ensembl:lncRNA